rnacentral:tRNA from 1 species
AAGGAUUUAAGUUAAAUAAACUCGUAGCCUUCAAAGCUAUCAAUAAAGUCCCUCUUUAAGCCUUA